UGGAUUUCCGUACACCUCCAGGUUUGGAUCGGACACGUAAUGCUGAGAUUGGAAACAAGGACAUUAAAUUCAAGCAUUUGGAGGAGGCCUUCACAUCAGAGCACUGGCUUGUAAGGAUAUAUAAAGUGAAAGCCCCUGAUAACAGGGAGACAUUAGACCACGAACCUCGAGUAACCAACAUUUUCCCCAAACAGAAGUAUUUGUCAAAGAAGACUGCAAAAAGGAAGCGUGCCUACAUUAAAAAUAAGCUUGUUUUUAAGAAAGGCAAGAAAAUAUCUAAGAAGACUGUUUAAAAACACUAUUCUGGUUCCUAACUUGAAGCAGAUGUCUUUGUGAGAACUGGUCUUUGCCUUUAGCUCAUGUCGUGUUUCACAGUAGCGGAGGGUACAGAACCAUCACUGGUCCAGGUUAACAUACAAAAUUCUGGCAACACCUGAUUUAAAAAAUAAAAUUGGCUUAUUGAGAACAGCUGUUUUCGAUUUGUAAUGUGAAGCAAGACAGAGCACUGCUGUAAAUGUCUUAACAGCAGAUUUUUUUUUGUUGGUACAUAUUAUCCUUCAAAUCUGAAAAUUUGGACAAAUCGCACCAAAGAACCCUCUAAUUUGGUCCCUGGCACAUGCAUACUUGUCAAGGUUUUUUUAUUCUUUUACAAGACCUGCAUUUUAUUUGAAUGACCCAGAUAGCAAUAUGUAAAAUACAAAUGACAAAAUGUGAUGCAAGCUUCUUGAACCAGUAUAACUAGUACAGGUCUGAGAAAGAGGUAUGAGAAUACUUCCUUGAACUAUAUUUAUUUUCAUGUUUCUCCAGUGCAAAGAAUGUUUCAUCAAAUGUACAUUGUCUAUUGCUUACUGUUUGCUCUGAGAAGAUGAAGCUGCUGUUUUAAAGAUGGACCUCUAACUCAUUGAUUCAAGUAGUUUUUUUUUUUUUCUUUUAUGUUGAAACAUUAUUGCUGCUGUUAGCAGUUGUUUUCACCAGGUACUUACAGAGCAGAUAUCAUACAUCGUUCAUUCAAGGGCUAAAUUUAUAUCCUUUGGCAAUCAUGGCAACACAGAAUGUUGCUUGUCAGCAGGCUGGGGUUCAGAGUCCUGCUCCUGAGUUGAGCACUGUGUUUACAUACAGAAGAUUAAGGAAGAAACCCUUCAAGUGGACAGGUAUCCAGAGUUUGUUUUGUGUGACUCUUCAGAAGGACAAAGGAUUUGUACAAUUCUGGCUUCCUCUCAUUUUUACAACAGUUUCAUCCAUCACAGUGACUUUUGUCCUUUGCUCCAUAUUUUGUUAAUCCCUUACGCAUUUGAUGAAACACCCUUUAAUGCUAUGUGCAUUUUCUUACUUUUAUUAAAAAUGUGACAGUUGUCAAAAAAUGCACUAAAAUGUCAAUGGAGAUUGAACAUGUUCACUUUCCAGCUCAUAGGCAACUUUAUAUAGACUUGAAAUUUUUCUCCUGUUUAGUGAAAGAGAAAGGGUUUUUCCUGCCACAGGAUAUCUUUUUUUUUUUUUUGAUAUAAACAAGCAUAACUUACACCACUGCUUUUGGUGGAAAAGUGCAGAAUAGUAUCUACCUUUUAUGAAGAAAAGUGUAAUUUACAAUAUUCAAUGAGAAUGUUACUGCUGAUUUUCUUUUUCCAAAGUGUAGAAUAUUCUUUGAUUUAUAGAAUUCAUUUUUGACCCAGAUGAUGGUUCUUUUACAGACCAAUAAAAUGGUCGAACAUUUUCACAAAUAAAGUGUAACUGAAUCUGGAUUUCUGAUACCUUGUCAUUUGGGGGAUUUUAUCUUACUUUGUUGCUUUAAAAUUCAAUGCAGAGAAGUUGUUGACUGUAGGGAAAAUAAAGUUAAUUCAAAUUUUGUGUUAA